GGGGGUGAUCGGUUUCGACGGUGGUCGUGCUUCGAGGAGAAGCGGGCCGAGGAUGCAGACUUAUCUCGUUAACGAUGUCUGCAAACCAAUAGGUGCCGAUUCCAAGCGCACCGACUUCGCCCUCGCCGCCUGAGCGAGCCCCGAAGUCCGUCAGCCCGGGAUAGCUUCCGACCCGGUUCCUGGCGUCAUCUAGGAAGCCACUGCUCACGUCGCUCGUCAUCGGCGGCGUGGGGACUCUCAGAUGACUGGGCCUGUCAGCAACAUGUCUGCAUGAGAGCUGGGGCCGAGAAAAUCCACUAGCAGACUGCGCCCGGAGAAGUCCUGGAUACGCGUCACCGGACCGGGGUUCGAUUCCCCGCACCUCCACCC
rnacentral:tmRNA from 1 species